AGCUGUGGAAGAUGGUGAUGGAGUGAGGGAUGGGCUUGGGCAGUGAGGACUGGGGGUCCAGCCCAUCUCCCACUCCUUACCCCUGGCCGUCCCUCCUUAGUACCAGAGGCACCUGUUUGUA
rnacentral:precursor_RNA from 8 species